GAUGAACGCUGGCGGCGUGCCUAAUACAUGCAAGUCGAGCGAACAGACGAGGAGCUUGCUCCUCUGACGUUAGCGGCGGACGGGUGAGUAACACGUGGAUAACCUACCUAUAAGACUGGGAUAACUUCGGGAAACCGGAGCUAAUCCCGGAUAACAUGUUGAACCGCAUGGUUCAACAGUGAAAGACGGUCUUGCUGUCACUUAUAGAUGGUUCCGCGCCGCAUUAGCUAGUUGGUAAGGUAACGGCUUACCAAGGCAACGAUGCGUAGCCGACCUGAGGGGGGGAUCGGCCACACUGGAACUGAGACACGGUCCAUACUCCUACGGGAGGCAGCAGUAGGGAAUCUUCCGCAAUGGGCGAAAGCCUGACGGAGCAACGCCGCGUGAGUGAAGAAGGUCUUCGGAUCGUAAAACUCUGUUAUUAGGGAAGAACAAAUUUGUAAGUAACUAUGCACGUCUUGACGGUACCUAAUCAGAAAGCCACGGCUAACUACGUG
rnacentral:rRNA from 1 species